rnacentral:lncRNA from 1 species
UGCCAGUACAAGCACAUUGUGGACUGGUGUGGCUGCUCCCCCAACGACUUCAAGCCACAGGACUUCCUCCGGCUGCAGCAAGUCUCCAGACCCACCUUCUUCGCCCGGAAGUUCGAGUCGACUGUGAACCAGGAGGUGCUGGAAAUCCUGGACUUCCACCUGUAUGGCAGCUACCCCCCCGGCACGCCAGCCCUCAAGGCCUACUGGGAGAACACCUACGACGCGGCUGAUGGCCCCAGUGGGCUCAGUGAUGUCAUGCUCACUGCUUACACAGCCUUCGCCCGCCUCAGCCUGCACCAUGCCGCCACUGCUGCACCCCCAAUGGGCACCCCACUCUGCAGGGCUACCUGGUGACGCAGGCGGUGCAGCCCUCAGCCCAGGGGCCGGCAGAGACGCUUGAGAUGUGGCUGAUGCCCCAAGGGUCGCUGAAGCUGUUGGGGCGCAGUGACCAGGCCAGCCGGCUCCAGAGUCUGGAGGUUGGCACUGAUUGGGACCCCAAAGAGCGUCUUUUCCGGAACUUUGGGGGGUUACUGGGGCCGCUGGACGAGCCUGUGGCCGUGCAGCGCUGGGCCCGGGGCCCCAACCUC